GGAUGACAGAAUGAGAGGUGGGGUGACAGGGUGAGAGGGAGGUGACAGGGUGUGACAGGUGGGGUGGCAGGGGGUGACAGGGUGAGGUGACAGAGUGAGAGGGGAAUGACAGGGCAAGGUGGCAGGGUGAGAGGUGGGCUGGAAGGGGGAUGACAGGAUGAGAGGUGGGGUGGCAGGGUGACAGGUGGGGUGGAAGUGUGAGAGAGG